AAAGAGGAAAUGAUGCAUUCAAAUUGGAGAAAAUUCAAUAUAGGGGGACUGUAUGAGCAGUGAGUUUCUAGUGAUCAAACUUCAAGUUACUAGUGAAUAAUUAUAAAAGCAGAACUACCUCUACCCAUGCAUAUAACAGGAUGUGGAUAAUUUACAAUCCCCGAAGUCCAAGGAAAUUAAAAAAUAAGGUAUCUAUUCCUCUUAUUUCACUAAAAGGAGGGAGGCGGAGGAAGAAAGAACAAAAGUAUUGCGCUUGUUGGUAUAGCCAUUUGGCAAUAGAAAUAUUAUUCCACCAAAUUGAUCACAGAGAAAAGGUACACUCAAAAGAUAGUACAUGUGCAAAAGAUGAUAGUGAGUGGUUAAUCACCCUUAUUUUCCAAAAAACAAUACACUAGAAAUUUCCUUAUUUACAAAGGCAGAUACAAAAUGUAGUAGAGAGGCGCAUAUAUGGGGUACAUUGAUUAAAGUAACUGAUAGUAACUACAAAUUAUCAGAGCUACCAGCAAUAAACAUAAACAGGUUGAGCACCAUGUCUGUCUACUACCAUCCAAAGUACAUGAGCUAAUAAGCAAAAAACAAGCAGUAUGACAAACUCAACAUAUUAGAACAUUAAUUCCACAAUAUUUGGUAUAUGGAAGUUACUAUAGAAAUAAGAAGAUAAUUGCAGUAGGAAUAUUAGUGUAGAUACAUGGGCCCACUUGCCUAGGUGGCUAAGCCACAUCAUCUCAACACCAUCACCAUGUCAUCUCCAUAUGACUUGGCCUCAUGUGUCAACCUCGUGAGGUGACAACUAGACCAAUGAUAUCUCACCAUGUGUUUGUUCUCCAUCAAUGAUAGAGAUAAACUCUUUUAUGUUUGUGAUGUGCCUCCGUUGGACCCUCAACACUUAUAUAGAAUAUGUGUCCGUUGGAAAUUAAAUCAGAUUUGACUCAAUCCAUAACCCAUAGAGCAUCCACACGGGUUAUUUAUUUGACAGGCCCAUGUAUUUGAAUGAAGGGAUCUUAUCUACUGAAGAUAAGGUUGUUGUAGAUAGCUACACCGCAUCCCUUAUCCAUAGGAGACUAUCUCUAUAUACAGAUAGAGCAUACAUUGUAUACAACAAUGAUGAAAAAAAAACCUAAAGAAAAUUCCAUUGUUCCUCUUCCUGUUCAAUCUCUAUAAGGAUACCAUCACCAGAGUCUAGGAACUUCGAGUGUGAAAUUCAUGGGGUAACUCUAGAUGCCAAUCCGUUGACUUGGUAUCAUUACAUGGAUUCUUAGUUCAUGGUCGUUCGUAGAGGUUUGUAAUUCAAGCAAUGAUUCGGGAUUGUGGGUAAACUACUUCCACUUGAGGGAAACAUUUGGGAUUCACCACUGAUUCACUGUAGAAGCAAGCCAAACAAAAGAAAUUGAUUGCCCAUUUUCCAUGAGUCUUGUCAUUGAGCAAAAUGGAGGAA